rnacentral:miRNA from 1 species
GAGUCGAGCUUGUGUGUGGAA